GAUGAACGCUGGCGGCGUGCUUAACACAUGCAAGUCGAACGAAGCACUUAUGACAGAUUCUUCGGAUGAUGGAUUAAGUGACUGAGUGGCGGACGGGUGAGUAACGCGUGGGUAACCUGCCUCAUACAGGGGGAUAACAGUUAGAAAUGACUGCUAAUACCGCAUAAGCGCACAGGACCGCAUGGUCUGGUGUGAAAAACUCCGGUGGUAUGAGAUGGACCCGCGUCUGAUUAGCUAGUUGGUGGGUAACGGCCCGACCAAGGCGACGAUCAGUAGCCGACCUGAGAGGGUGACCGGCCACAUUGGGACUGAGACACGGCCCAAAAUCCUACGGGAGCAGCAGUGGGAAUAUUGCACAAUGGGCGAAAGCCUGAUGCAGCGACGCCGCGUGAGCGAAGAGUA
rnacentral:rRNA from 1 species